GACGAACGCUGGCGGCGUGCCUAAUACAUGCAAGUCGAGCGGACAGAAGGGAGCUUGCUCCCGGAAGUUAGCGGCGGACGGGUGAGUAACACGUGGGCAACCUACCCUGUAGAUCGGGAUAACAUCGAGAAAUCGGUGCUAAUACCGGAUAAUCAUUUGAAGUGCAUGCUUCGAAUGUAAAAGAUGGCUCCGGCUAUCACUACGGGAUGGGCCCGCGGCGCAUUAGCUGGUUGGUAAGGUAAUGGCUUACCAAGGCAACGAUGCGUAGCCGACCUGAGAGGGUGAGCGGCCACACUGGGACUGAGACACGGCCCAGACUCCUACGGGAGGCAACAGUAGGGAAUCUUCCGCAAUGGACGAAGGUCUGACGGAGCAACGCCGCGUGAGUGAUGAAGGUUUUCGGAUCGUAAAGCUCUGUUGUUAGGGAAGAACAAGUGCCGUUUGAAUAAGGCGGCACCUUGACGGUACCUAACCAGAAAGCCACGGCUAACUACGUGCCAGCCGCCGCGGUAACAC
rnacentral:rRNA from 1 species